rnacentral:tRNA from 1 species
GGAGGUGGCUCAAGUGGUAGAGCGCUAGCCUGGCAUGCGUGCGGCCUGGGUUCGAUCCUCAGCACCA